rnacentral:rRNA from 1 species
UAACGCGAAGAACCUUACCAGGUCUUGACAUCUUCUGCUAACCUAAGAGAUUAGGCGUUCCCUUCGGGGACGGAAUGACAGGUGGUGCAUGGUUGUCGUCAGCUCGUGUCGUGAGAUGUUGGGUUAAGUCCCGCAACGAGCGCAACCCUUAUUGUCAGUUGCCAGCAUUUAGUUGGGCACUCUGGCGAGACUGCCGGUGACAAACCGGAGGAAGGUGGGGAUGACGUCAAAUCAUCAUGCCCCUUAUGACCUGGGCUACACACGUGCUACAAUGGACGGUACAACGAGUCGCGAAACCGCGAGGUCAAGCUAAUCUCUUAAAGCCGUUCUCAGUUCGGAUUGUAGGCUGCAACUCGCCUACAUGAAGUUGGAAUCGCUAGUAAUCGUGGAUCAGC